GUAAAAUGGCGCCAUUUUGUGUAAAGGGAAAUGAAAGAUAAGAAAUAGUGGCGUUUUUAUAAGAAACGCUUUAAUACUUUUUCACACAAUCGGUGCCUCCCCUUCCCCCCGAAAUCCCAAAAUUUGACAUGAAAUCUGUUCUUUUUUUCCCUCUUUUUUUUUCCCAAAAUCGGUUCCCUCCUCCCUCCCCAAUGAAAUCCUAAAAUUUCACCUGAAAUUUCUUCUCUUUUUUCCCCAUUUUAUUUUUCCCAAACCAUUUCCCCCUACCCCGAUUCCCUUUAUUUUUUCCCCCAAUUUCCCCAAAUCGGCAGCCCUCUGUAUCUCCGUCGGUAGCCCGCUUCUGUAUCUCCGUCGAGAUAUGCUGUCAAGUAUACUGAAAGAGGACCCAAGGAUCUUCAAAAUCUGAGAGAAGAAAUUCAAUCCAAAAAAUGAAAAAGAACCCCAAAAGAUGAGGAUUAAUGGGAGUUGGGAGUUGAUUUUUUAUUGAUUUUUUCAAGUAAAAAAAAGAUGAAUUCACAAAAUCAAGUGGAGUCAACUCUCAAGGAAAUACUUGAAGUGGUCAAGCCGUUGCAUGAAGACUGGGUUACUCGGUUUAAGAUCAUCAAUGAAUUGUGUGAAGUCGUUCAAUCUAUCGAAAAUUUAAGAGGUAAAAUUUUAUGUUACUUUAUUUUGAUUGUUCCAUGGGAAAUGCUAAUAGUGAUUCUUAGUAACUCGUCUUACGAGUAAAUCUAUGCAAGUUUAUUGAUUGAUAUUGGCCGCAGAAAUGCUAUAUUUUGCAUUCCGUGAUGGAUGUUGCGAACAAUUUGCAAACCAGGAUAAUUUUUAUGUAUACAAACAUAAAAUGUUUGACCCCAUGAAAAGAAACACGAAGUAAACAAGUGGUUUUUUUGUA